AUACUUACCUGGAUGGGGUCUAUGGGUGAUCAUAAAGGCCCAUGGCCUAAGUUGGUAACCUCCAUUGCACACAGGAGGGGUGCCCGCUUAAGGUCUCCCUAAAUGGGAGAGCCUACAUCGUAAUUUGUGUUAGAGGGGGCCUGCGUCCGCGCGGCCCCUAU